rnacentral:misc_RNA from 1 species
UCAAACUUGGUCAUUUAGAGGAAGUAAAAGUCGUAACAAGGUUUCCGUAGGUGAACCUGCGGAAGGAUCAUUACUGAGUUAGGGUUCGCAUGAGCCCGACCUCCAACCCUUUGAUUAAACUACCAUGUUGCUUUGGCAGGCCCGUCUUACCCGGACCGCCGGGGGCAUUUGUCCCUGGCCAGUGCCUGCCAGUAGCCAAUUUUAAUUCUUUUUAACGGUGCAGUCUGAACUAUACCAAAAAUUUAAUUAAAACUUUCAACAACGGAUCUCUUGGUUCUGGCAUCGAUGAAGAACGCAGC